GUCAACUUUCCCGAACUAUUAAAGACCAAAGAUGCUCAACUGAGGAGGAAAACAAGGGCGGGUGUGCAACUCACUUCAGAAUAGGCCGAGCACCAGUGCUGGCUGCGACUGCUUAAGAGGCACAAAAAAAGCAUGGAUGGGGCCGCCACAUUCCUAUGACCCAGCCCUCCCUAACCUAGCAGGCCUGCUCUUGAUUGAGGAAAUGGAGACUCGGUGAAACGGCUUCCUCAAGGUCAUACCAACUGCACCGAAGCUCUGGGUUCAGCACACCACUCUUCAUCUCAAAGGCUGAGAAGCUGUGAAAGGCUUGUCACUGGCAAAUAGUGGUAAAGCAAAGAAAGCUGCAGUUGAUACAGGCGUGUUGUGUAGACGUUUACAGUUCCACCAUCACUGUGCGCUCAUUGGAUGGUGACGCAAUCCCAGGACAAGGAUGGGGGUUGCCCCUAAUGUGCUUCCAUUCCACUGGGGUGAGGCCCACCAAGCAAAUGGUCUAUUUGGAAAAACUAUAAGGACAUUUGCUCUCCUA
rnacentral:lncRNA from 1 species